GACGGGCGCGCGGAGGAGCGGGGAAGCGACGGGAAGAGGAGGGACGGGACAGGGUGUGAAUGGACGCGGGGCCACCUGGGGCUCAGGAAUAGGCUGAAGGGGCGGGCGGGGUGAGCGCGGGCUGUGGCCUCCGCAGAGUUCAGUGAACUCGGGGAAGUCACUCAAACCCUCAGGGCCUGUUUCCUGUUCUCUAAAAUGGCAACAGUAGUAGAACCGACCUCCUGGGCACUUUUGGUGGUUUUGAUGAGAGAACUGAUGGAACUUUCUUAAUACAGAGCCUCCCCUGUGGCAUUUGAUGAAUGCUGGGCGUUAAACACAGAAGUCGGCACAGAAGAGCAGGUCAGAGGGUGGCGACUGGUCCCUAGGGAGGCGUGUAUGUUGGAAACAAUGGAGAAAUGAGAAUGCAGAGGCCAAGUUUUUAUGGACGCUGAAUGUUCGGGACAAGAUAUAAGUAGAGCUAGCAGUUUUGAGGGGCUGAUUAUAUACUUAGCAGUUCACCUGAAUUAUCCUCAUAACCUUAUGAGUCCUGCUGCAUCCUGAGGGCCAAGUCUGGAUCUAAGAUGAAUUUGCUAUCGUUUGAAGGAAGACUAACUCAGUGUUGGUGAGAUGGUUUGAAUUUAGAGGAGUUAAAAAAUGUUGAGGGUCCUCCUUACCGAUAUGAGGAAAAUGGCCUUUGCCACAGCCCUGCCUAAUAGGAGCCAGGCCAAGAGGCUUUCCUGGACACCCAAAAGAAAAAUAAUCAGGACCAGCUUCCUCGGCAAAUGUAGGGAGAUACAGAUCUUCCCGGCCUUAUGAUGAGGUUACAUCCCAAUAAACCCAUUCCAGUGCUAUUAACCUCAAGGCCACAGACCGAUUACAAGAAGUAAAAAUUAAAAUCAACUGUUUCCAUGGGACCUACUAAAAUCUGAGUUAUUGAUGGCUGAUACCGAAAUGUUUAUGCAACUGUAAUCAACUAUGUGUUUGUCAAAGAAUGUAGUACCCACUUACAUAUGAAAAGGAACAUCAUGUACAUAUCUGUUCAUACAUUUACACAUUCAACCAAUAUUUAUUGAGUACCUAUCAUGAGACAGACACUGCUAUACUUGGGUAUAAAGUGGUACUUGAAACAGACCCCAAACCUGACCUUGGAGCAGACAGUCUAGUAUAUAAUAAUCUCCACUAAGUUAUAUAUUAUAAGGCAGUAAUCAUGUCUUAUUCAGUACAAUGAAUAUAGAUUUUCUUUGAAUAUAGACUUAAUGAAUGAAUUUCCCAGGAGUUAUUUUGCCCUAAAGUAAGAAGUUGUUUAUUAUUACUUCGGAGUUGUACUUGUGGUAGUUGAGGAAUAAUAUGGACUAAGGAACCCUGAUAAAACCUCGCUACUAACUUUAGCAUGCUUCGUCCCACGUCAACCUGUCUUUCAGAUCACCCCAAAUUGGGCCUAAUGUUUGGUUAUGAAAAGAUUUCUGACAAAAAGGCAUAUGAAUGUGGCCACCCAGUGGUAAAACGAGCAGCCUCGAUGCUCAGAGACUGCUGUCAUUUAGAUUAGAACAAAUUAUUGUUAUUAUUGUAAUUUUGUUCUUUAAAAAGAAAAUCCUCUGACAUUUAUUUUACAGUGGUUUUUUAGUUGCAUUAGAUAUUUGGGAAAGUAAUGUGAGAGAUUAUAUGACCCAGCAUUUUUAGAACAAGUAACAGAUUUCAACACCAACACUUAACAGAAAUCUCUAAAGUAAUACAUUUUUAAAUGAUCAGAAUAUCAGGAACUUAAAUUUUUGGAGAUUAAUUGUUAUGCAAACAUACCAUUUGCUGACAUCUCAGUCACUUCAGGAUCUGUGCUCUUGAAUCAAAGAAUCAAAGGCCUGUAAGUGCUUUCCUGUUAUCUCCCCUGUAAAUAAUAGAUUUUUCUACCUUAUUUUACCAGGGGAGGGAAACACAAAAUGAAAGGCAAAGAUUUGAUAGCUCUCCUAAGGUCUGGUCUACCUAAUGGAUAAAGUGGCACUUACCUGGGACUUCCAAGAGUUAGCCUUUAUUGUGUCCUCCAAAGGAAAGAGAAUGGAUUGUCCUCUGGGCUGAUAUAAACGGGGGAAGACAGCAGCUAUAAGUGACCUUGUGUUCUGAUACGGUCCUGGCAUCUGGACAGAAUCUUUUUGGUAGCCUGUGCUUUGUCACUUUCUAGCAAGUCCAGAGGCUGGGCACCAUGAGAUUCCAGGCCUCCUUGAGGGUAGGAGAAAGGGAUCCCGAUAUUCUCAGCAUUUGGUUUUCUGUCUCAGAUGAACUUUCAAGUCCAGUUAAUGAGCAGGCACCAUGCCAGGAAGAGAUACAUGAGCUUGGACCUCGAAGGGUAUGUACUCUGAAGCUGAAAUCAUAAACCAGAACAUCUGACGUGUGUCUCAUACACAAUGAGGGAGGGAGGGCUGUUGAUGGAAAUGUCACACGCAGCUGCUUUUAGCGCUUGGCUCUCCCCGAGGAAGCUUCCCCCUCUGCCACUACACCCCACCCUCUUCCUGCAUGAAAGCCAUUUAGGGCUCUUUAGUUCUUAUCCUGCGUGCUGUGAAGCAGGCUGAAAAUUUAUAUCUGUUACAUCAGUCUGGUUCGUGGCUGAUUGAUGUACCUGAUGGGCUAUGGGAGUGACCGGCUCAGCUCUGUUUGGCUCAGGAAAGAAUCUACCUUAGAGAAACAAUUGUGUGCCCUGCUCUGUUAUGUAAAGAAUGUCGCUUAGAGUCCUAAUUAAGCUACUUGUUAAACAGCAUCCUUUGAACAAGUCACUUUCUUCUACCACUUCUCCAGCUAUAUGAUUAAGCAUGUAAUCCUAUUGAGAUUUCCUAGUGGGGUUGUGAAGACGAGCUGUUCCCUCCAUCCGGAAUUCUCUUUCCCUCCCUCACUGUAAGCCAUGCCAAAUCCUCCUUAUCCUCUGGAUUUAAAUUGAAACGUCAGUUUCUUGAGCUCUUCCCUGACCCUACUUUCUUACUGCUGAAAACCAAGAAGUUUCCCAGUUCACUCCAUAGCACCUGUUACUUCCCCUUUUGCAACCUGUGUCAUGCUCAUUAUAAUAGUUGUUCAGUGUCUAUCUUCUCUAUUAGACUCCAAGCUCCGUUGGGGGUAGGACUCGUAUCUGUCUUUUGCACCUGAAUCUCCAGCACCAAGCACUGUGCAUGCACACAUUUGGUGCUUAAUAAACAUUUGUGGAAUAAAUGAUGAAUUACAUCUCAUAACACUUUGAGAUUCCUUUGUGAAAACCAAAUAUUGAACUUUCUGUGCCCUCCUAUCAUGCAGGUAAUGUUAAGAACAGGUGUUGAAUUAGAGCCAAAAGGACAGCUACUUAUUGUGCUUUCCCCAUGCCUGACUGCUGCUUGCCUUCUCAUAUCACCACAAUCUAAAUUCUUAUCAUCAUGGCAAAUUGUUCCCAACUCCCUAAGCGAUCAUUUCUAGGAAGAUUGCAGUCUGUGUUCAUUUUUUAAAGGAAACCAACCAUCCAAACUGGCUUUUAGAGUCAAGUGUUGUAUUUCCUUAUAUUUUCGUUGAUCUAAAGAAUCAUCAAGCUCCCGUAGAUAAGAUUUUGUGUAAUUUGUAGUUUUACAUUUGAGAAUGAGUUUGCCAACUUCAAAUAAAUUCUUAUCAAAGUUUUGUCUCCUUGUCAACACUGAGUGUUUCUGAAAUGUUAACCUGAACUUGAAUAUCUUAAUUCUUUCUGAAAACUUUUCAGAUUCAUAGUUAAAUGAGGAAAAACAGCUUCAGAUGCCAUUUAUUAAUUCAUUGAUUUAUUCAUUCAAUAAUUGUUAGUGAAUACUGUAAGCCAGACACGAUUCUAGAUAUUUGGGAAUAUCAGCAAAUAAAACAGAUUCUUGCCCUCAAGAAAAUAAUUAUAGGACUACUGUGGUAUGGACAGUACUCACCAAAUAUUUCACUGCUCCUCUGCUUUUCCCAGCCUCCCUUCAGGUAGGUUGGGGUCCUGUGAUUACUUCUGGCUAAUGGCUUGUGAAAGAAGUGACUGGUAUCACUUGCAGGCACUUUCAGACUGCACAAGUUAUAAGCUGAUAUGCCUCCCCUAACCCUUUUUAUCCUGUCACAGCAAGCUGGGAGGUUACAUAUUGCACAUGGUACCGCUAUAAGAUGGGAGAACCUGAGUCCUGUUGGCUACUGAGUGAAGGGGUGGAGCGACACACGGCCUUCACCGCCUGCCACCCUGUGCUAGAUACAUGACAUGCGUGAGAUAGAAAUUUUUGUUGGUUAAGCCACUAAGGAUUCGGGGUUUGACCUCUGGGACAGCCAGCAUUAAGUAUCCUGAGUAAUACAACAUGUAUUAUUUAUUUAACAUCUUUUAUGUGCUAGGCGCAUUACCAGGCUGUUUGUAAUAGUGAUUUAUUAUUGUUAAAACCCUAACUAUUCACUUUCUUUGCCAAAAGAGAGACAUACUCAAUGUUUAUCCUGAACUACUAUGUUCAUUCUCAUUGAAGCUGCUUUUUUUUUUUUUUAAUGGUAGCACUAAGAUAUCAGCCUUGUAAAUUUAGAGGGGAAAAAAGGAUUUUAGUCUUAUUCUAGAGGACUGAAUUAGAAUGAAUCCUUAUCCUGAUGUUUGAGUAGAUUAUUUCAUUUGCCUUAUUUUUCCCAUAGAUAAAACAGGGACUAAUAUUCUGCUCCUGAUAUUACAAGGUUAUGAUGACCAAAAUGAGUUAAUAUAUAAACCAUGAAGCACUUACACAAAUAUAAUGUGACCAUUCUCAUUGAAUCUAAGACACCACAGGUUCUAGGAUACACCAUUAUUUUAUAUUCCACUAAGAAACUAAUGAUAUAAGUUAAUCUAUGGCACAAUACUUUCUUAUCACUUUGUUUAAACUUUUUUUUUGGUCAUAUAUAAAAGCUUUGCAUUAAAGGGAAACAAUUCAGUUUAAGGUAGUCCAAAAUGUCUUCAUAUUCAGAGUCUCUUUUGAAUCACUUUUCGACUCUGAAACAUUGAUGUACUCAAUUUUUUCUCAGUGUUUCUCAGUACAGUAUUACCCUCUGUGCCAUCAAAAGCAGUGGCAGGGGCACCUGAGUGGCUCAGUAGGUCAAGUGUCUGACUCUUGGUUCCAGCUCAGGUCAUGAUCUCAGCGUUGUGAGAUCUGGCCCCGCGUGGGACUCUAUGCUCAGCGUGGAGUCUGCUUGAGAUUCUCUCCCUCUGCCCUUCCCCCGCUCCUGCUAUAAACAAACAAAUAAAAGCAGUGGCAAUGCUGCAGUGCUGAGGCAGGGCUCCAUUUUUUUCUAAGAUUUUCUUCCAACCUUCUGUCCUUGGGUUUCAGUUGUCCAGUCAUUCAACCGGAAGUAACAACCAAGUUUGUAGGUAAGCAGGCAACAGCAAUGGCAUUGAAAGUGCUAAACAGUGGAAACAGCUGGAAAAUGUCAGUUCCCUCAAUUUCAGAGAUGUUAAAAAGUGAAAAUAUAUGUAUCUUGGAUUAGGUAAAAUAAAGUAUUGGAUUCUAUGUUUCACAAAUAAAGCUAUAUAAUAUUUUCAUAUCAUAUCUAUAUACCUAAUAUCAGCUAUGCAGGAGCUCACAGAUCAUUCUUUGAUCUCCUUCUCAUAGGUAACACUCUGAUCCAGGCCUUCACAAUCUUCAGUCUAGCACAAUGCAGUAAGAAGAGUCUGGGGUGUAGGGCAAAGGGAACUGACUUUGGGGUCUGAAGACCUGAGUCUGACUCUCAGCCCUGCAAUUUUUCAUAUGUGCCACUUUUGGGGUCAAGGUACUGCUCUGGGGUAAUUCACAAGGUUUGGGGGGGAUUUAAUAUAAACAAAAGCAUGUUGUAAACUGAAAUCCACAUGCAAAGGGAGGGAGUGCCAGGGACUGUGCUGGGUACUUUGCAUACAUUAUCUUAUUUGAUCUGAUGUAAAUGUUAAGGCAUAUAGUGUCUUGACAGUCACCUUGCUAUUUAAUCCAUUUUAUGCUGUAUUAAUAAAACACCCCUUUCAUUGCUUCAUACUUUAAAGCAGAAGUCUUCUAAGGCUGUUUGGAACAAACUAGUUGAUGACCAUGGGCCCAUUACAGAGCUGUAGCCCCUCCCUUGUUCUUGCCUUGUAUCCCAGAAACAUUUGAAAUAAGAGACCCUUGGGCUACCAGCGUACCAUCUUCUCUGUGACUCUGGUGCUGAAACUAGCCACAGAGGACCAUGCAGAAACUUUUUAAUCGAUGGUAAAAAGUCCAAAGUGAAUCUGAGAUCCAGGGUGUGGAUCUAAACAGGCACUAGGCAAUUUAUACAGACUCAGGUGACAGAAAGUUGACAUCCAGAAAGCAUGGCCUUAGAAACUAGCUGCCCCAGUGACAAGGAGAGUGUUUGGGGGGCUGUAACUCUAUUUUGGGAAGGGAAAGUUACCAGCAAGAAAUCUAGUACUGAGUACUAGAGAUAGAAGGCAGCAGCCACCCCAAAGCCCAAUUACCUUUGAGACUGACUCUUGGAACUAAUGACCCAUUCUCUUCAUGUUCUUCUAGCAGGAAGAAUUGGGAUACUUGAAUUGGAACAAAGCUUAAUCUACAGAUCAGGGUUAUAGAUUCAAGCUCAAAGUCUAGAGGAUAUGAACGAAACACGUUAUUCUUUUUAAAAGAUUUUAUUUAUUUGAGAGUGAGAGAGCAAGCACAAGUAUGGGGGAAGGGGCAGAGGCAGAAGGAGGGGGAGAAGCAGACUCCCUGCUGAGCAGGGAGCCUGAUGCAGGACUCUAUCCCAGGACCCUGGGAUCAUGACCUGAGCCAUAGGCAGAUGCUUAACUGACUGAGCUGCCCAGGCACCCCAACAAAACACGUUAUUACACCAACUAUAUGAAAUGCUGUCUUGGAAUACUAAUAAGUGGGAAUGAGGUGAAGUUGGUAGUGGGGGAUGGAGGAAGGUGGUUAAACAAUUAACUUUUUUAUGUUCCAGAUGUCCACAAGAUAGAGAACUUUGUGAAGCCACAAAGGAGCAAAGACCUACAAAAAUUAGGGGGCUUCCAAGACCCAUCUCAAUACUGCCUUCUUUAGGACAGCAAUGCUAUAACAUUUAAUCUGUUAUUCAGUGUAACACUCAUAUUGUUUUCUGACUAGUUUGGGUAUAUACACAUUGAAUUCCCAUUAGGAUUUUAAGCUUGAGGUCAGUAAUAGCAUUUAAAAAAUAUUCUACAUGUACAAUAACUGGCAUAAUGCUGUGUAGUGCUAAGAAAACUUAUUAAUGUCACCCCUUCCUAUUUGAAUCUAGCAGAGAUUGUAUCUUGCUGUAAUGAUUGGUAUAAAGGUGAGAACCCAAAUUGCUUUUUGCUGUUCAGCACAUGUUUUUCCACGAACCCAGCCACUCCAGAAAAUCUAUCUUAUUUGCAGAACUAUUGCAAAAUCUGACACUCCUCUUCACUUCACUGGAAUGCCCUUGUAAUUGCCAAAUGUUGCCUUGCCUCAUGGAAAUUCUUGGCCAGAAACCUAUGGAUUGCCAGCCCUUGCAGCUGUUGACCCUAAUUCUCCUAUAAUAUCAAAUCAAACAACAUUUCUUAAUGACCUACUGAGAACAAGCACUGAGGUAGUUGUCAUUGAAGGUAUAAAGAUAUGAUCACUGCCCUCAAGCAGUUUAUAGUAUGUAUAAAAACAAACAUAUGAACAUUUAAAUACCAGGUAAAGGCUAUGUGACAGUUAUGAACAGUAAGAGGGAUAGCAAAGGCAAUGAUGCAGGGGAAAAAAUGGCUAAGAAUUCACUGCAAGAAGAGGCAUUAUUUCUACCCCUUCUAUCUAGAAAGCCAUGAACCCCGUGUAGGAGUUCCUCUUGUCCUGUUUUCUUUUGUGUCACUAUUUUGAAAUACAUUUAUGGAAAAGAUAUGGUGUCCUUAUCCCCACAAAUCUUUGUUUGUUUUUGAGAGAGAGCAUGAAAGAGAGCAUGUGCGGGGUUGGGGGAGGGACAGAGGGAGAGAGAAUCUUAAGCAGGCUCCACGCCCAGCGUGCAGCCCUACGCAUGACUCCAUCUCACAACCUUGAGAUCAUGACCUGAGCCAAAAUCAAGAAUAAGACACUUUAACCCACUGAGCCACCCAGCCACCCCUGUCCCCUACAAAUCUUUUGUGUACUAUGGGCCACCUCCUGGGUUUUAGGUUCUUACCUCUUGACCUGAGAUUGUUCAGUGGUACCCAUUGAGAUUCCUGCCUUGGGAAAGCUUCACCUCCCCUCUGCUACUAAUUCUGUAUGCUAGAGCAUAGACUUUUUUUUUUUUUUUCAUUUCUAAAUAAACUCUGUGCCCAAUAUGGGACUCAAACUCAUGACCCUCAGAUCAAGAGUCACAUGCUGUACUGACUGAACCAGUCAGGCACCCCUACUCUUGUUGGUUUGUUUUUAAGUUUUGUAGACCUGGGGACCUUGGACUGGUACUAGGCCACAAAGAUAUUCAUUCGUGUUACUCUCUUCACAAGACUUACUCUCUUCACCUAGGAUGGUGGGCCAGGAUAUAUAUGAUUUCUACUCAUUCUCAUCAUGCUGCCUAGAAUAUAAUCCUCCUGGAACAAUCUUUUCUUCUGAGAUGAAGAGACUUUGUCAAAGGUAGUACAACAGCCACUGUCCCUAUUCCUUCACCUCAUUUUCCCUGUUCCCUCCCUACCCUCUCUUCCUUGGCGACCUCAUCUGUUUCUCUAUGCGAAUGAAUGUUAUCCCAUUCCAAGUCUUCAAUCAAUGUGUUCUAAAAGGAGAGAAAGCCUUAGAGUAUGAGUCAACUUUAUUCCUGGUACUGAACCCUGUUUGUUCUCUUGUUAGUUGCCCUGAGGAACAGGGAAGAGAAGUUCGACUUCUAUUUCUCUUGCUAUUAAAGGGAAGUGAAUGGCAGUCAACCCACUUCAUUAAAUUAAAGGAGAUCCCCUUAAAGGAAAGUGUUAACACACUGAGCUCCUGUUACAUGCACAUAGAGCAUUAAAAAAAUAUUUGCUUUAUGGUGCCUAACAUGUUACAAUUCAUCUUGGCAUUGGUUUCUGAGGCCAAAACAGACUUGGACUACUCCAGCUGAUUAGUAGGCACGUGGCUAGUGGCCUGGUAGGUGCAAAUUCUCGCCUUGAACUUUCCCAGGUGUGGAGAGUGUAACGAUGACUUGUCCUUAUAUGCUUACCUUUUAUUACAGUGAUUUCUGUGUGCACCUACAAUGUGGCUUUUUUUGAGGAGAGAAUCCCUUCUCUCAUUCAUCUUUGUUCCCCUCCACAUCAUCAGGUGCACUUGCCAAUGUUCAGCAGAUGCCUUUGAAUCGAUCAGUCAAGCAAUCCUUGCUAAAGUGGUAACCUGUUGCCUGGCUUUGUGGAAGUCUUUCAACUGCAUGUGCCAGCUCUCUAAGAAUUAAAAAUCACAACAACAACCGUUACAAUAGGAGUUACCUGUGGCAGCCAUGAACAGCAAUUCUGACAGCCAGUGACAACAAGAGAAAGG